CAUCUAACUUGAUCACUCAACAUUUGCAACAAGUUCCAUUAUUGUUGUCGAUCUAUAGACAGGAAAUAGACAGCAUGAUAGAUUAUUGCAAAUGUUGAGUGAUCAAGUUAGAUGAUGUAUUCAAUUGAAAGAAGUUCAAAUUGUUAAUUAUUUCAAACACUAGCACAUCAGAAAUGCUAAUUGUUGUAGCUUCAAGCAUCCACCUUCGCAGCUGCAGAUGCAUAACUGACACUGCUGUCCCUCAUUGUUUUGCAUUGGCUUGAUUGCUCGUAUCGGACAAAUUUAAUCUUUAUCUUUAUUGAGCAAUUCCUUAACA
rnacentral:misc_RNA from 1 species